GUGAAGAGUUCAGGCUUCAGGAGGAAGAUUCUGCACUGAGGAUAAAGAAGAGAUAAAGACAAGAUUACAAAAGGAGACAUUCACAGACAUAAACCUACUAUUAAUGAUGAAAAGGAAAUGUACAUGAGCCCAUACAAAAGCCAAAAUGGUGCAGCCAUUUCUGAGAUGCCCAGGGAAUGUGGAGGAGAAGCCUGCCUGAUUCAAAUUCAGGAAGGACAAGAGUCAAACGUGGUCUGGAGGGAGUAGAGAGGGACAAGGAGUACAUGUGGGGAAACAGGGCUGGAGACUGCCCUGGUCCACUAGAGGAUGACAACCUACUAUGAGAGUCGUUCAGAAAGCGUCUGGCUGAUGAUGCCCCUUCAUAUGCCACAAUAAAAAACUGGGCUACUGAAGUUAAGUGAGGGAGAAUCAGCACUGAGAAUGAACUAAUGUCAGGACACACCAAGUGGGCCAUCAUAUCAGAAAAAGUUGAAGCAGUCCACAAGAUGGUGAUGGAUGACAGAAGAUCAACAGUCAGGCACAUAACUGCAACAGUGGGCCUCAGCACUGAGUCUGUUCACAUCAUCCUCAGUUAAGACUUGGGGCAUAAGAAAGUGCUGUGGAAAGUUGAGUCAAGGAGUGGUGCUUCUCCAGACCAGUGCAUCACUCCACAGCACUGUGACCACAGCAACCAAAUGCAGCUUUCAGCUGCUUCCCCAAAUUUGGCGCUCUCAAACUGCUAUCUGUUCCCUAAGUUGAAGGAAGACCUUUGUGGGAAGAGUUUAAAUGAUGAUAAUGAAGUGAUCGUAGCAGUCGAGUUUCUGGACAUGCAGGACAACGACUUUUACAAGAU